GAUAGUUUAGAAUGCAUUUACGCUCGUGCUGGGAUGCCGAGCUUAUUUUUACAGCAGAGUUUAUGCUGUUUCAGACUGUCGGGUGCUGUCGGGGUUGACAGUGGACCCAGAUUGCUGUUUUGGCAGUGUUUAGGCUGUUUCAGACUGUCGGGUGCUGUCGGGGUUGACAGUGGACCCAGAUUGCUGUUUUGGCAUCAGAUUGUGCCG
rnacentral:lncRNA from 1 species